rnacentral:rRNA from 1 species
AAUGAACGCUGGCGGCAGGCCUAACACAUGCAAGUCGAACGAAGCCUUCGGGCUUAGUGGCGGACGGGUGAGUAACGCGUGGGAACGUGCCCUUUGCUUCGGAAUAGCCUCGGGAAACUGGGAGUAAUACCGAAUGUGCCCUACGGGGAAAAGAUUUAUCGGCAAAGGAUCGGCCCGCGUUGGAUUAGGUAGUUGGUGGGGUAAUGGCCUACCAAGCCUACGAUCCAUAGCUGGUUUUAGAGGAUGAUCAGCCAUACUGGGACUGAGACACGGCCCAGACUCCUACGGGAGGCAGCAGUGGGGAAUCUUAGACAAUGGGCGCAAGCCUGAUCUAGCCAUGCCGCGUGAUCGAUGAAGGCCUUAGGGUUGUAAAGAUCUUUCAGCUGGGAAGAUAAUGACUGUACCAGCAGAAGAAGCCCCGGCUAACUCCGUGCCAGCCGCCGCGGUAACAC